AUCCCGACACACACGGGAGUUUUCCCCCACCUGGUUUUGCAGACUGAGUUGUCAUUGCCUGCUGCUGGGCUCGCCGUGUCGAGUCAUCGCUGAUCGAGCCGCUGCAACGUCUGGCGGACUGCGAUCGUGGAUUACAUCGGAUUUAUUGUGACACGGGACCCACGUAGACCCGGAGCGGAUGUGGGAAGAGUGAAAUGGAGGGGGGGGUCGGUCCUAGGACCGGAUUCGAGUUUGUUACAGAUGACGAAAUUGCUUAGUUUUAAGUGAGACGGUUUUCUGUCGUUGCCGCUGCAGACCAGGACACGGGAGUGAGAGAAGUGCCGGAGCUUCCACGACACCAGCGAGCCAACUUCGCUGCUCUUGCCCGGUGGGAGUGACUAAAACUGAACCAGACAGAGCUAGGUGAGAGAGGCCCAGAUUUGGCCAUUCCAGCCUUCUCUCUGGCCGUACCUGACCAGGCCAAGGACCUCAUCAGUGAGUCCUACCUUCGCCCAAAGGUUUCGGGUGGUGCCAUCGCCUUGCCAGAUCUCCAUUCCUUCCAUGUCGUCGUGGUCUGUCUCUGGAUGUCUGAAGCAGGAUGGACGCAGGUGUUGAUUUGACGAUUGUCAUCGUGUCGCAGCGCUACCCCUCCCCUUCAUCGGAUUGGUUCCUCUCAUUCCUCCCCUCCUCCUCAUCCUCCUCCCCAACUGUCUUUAAGAAAAAGCCCCUCCCUCAUUUCUGGGGCUCCUCUGCCCCUGAGCGCUGCAAAGAAGGGCCCUAUAGAGACUGUAGUGUUGUGUUAUUGAAUCGAUAUACCUUGUAAAGAGGGAGGAGGUUCUGAUAAAUCCUCGCUAACGAACUCCAGAGUGAGAAGAAGUCAAAGGGGAUUAGUUAAUUCACUCAGUUUGACAUACCCAGAUGUUUUAUUUUUCUCCCCAUCCAUUU